UCUGGCGGCAGUAGCGCGGUGGUCCCACCUGACCCCAUGCCGAACUCAGAAGUGAAACGCCGUAGCGC
rnacentral:rRNA from 2 species